CCUACGGGAGGCAGCAGUGAGGAAUAUUGGUCAAUGGACGAGAGUCUGAACCAGCCAAGUAGCGUGAAGGAUGACUGCCCUAUGGGUUGUAAACUUCUUUUAUAUGGGAAUAAAAUGUUCCACGUGUGGGAUUUUGUAUGUACCAUAUGAAUAAGGAUCGGCUAACUCCGUGCCAGCAGCCGCGGUAAUACGGAGGAUCCGAGCGUUAUCCGGAUUUAUUGGGUUUAAAGGGAGCGUAGGUGGAUUGUUAAGUCAGUUGUGAAAGUUUGCGGCUCAACCGUAAAAUUGCAGUUGAAACUGGCAGUCUUGAGUACAGUAGAGGUGGGCGGAAUUCGUGGUGUAGCGGUGAAAUGCAUAGAUAUCACACAGAACACCGAUUGCGAAGGCAUCUCACGAAUCCGCGAUUGACGCUGAUGCACGAAAGCGUGGGUAUCAAACAGGAUUAGAUACCCCAGUAGUC
rnacentral:rRNA from 1 species